UACGUAGGUGGCAAGCGUUGUCCGGAUUUAUUGGGCGUAAAGCGCGCGCAGGUGGUUUUCUUAAGUCUGAUGUGAAAGCCCACGGCUCAACCGUGGAGGGUCAUUGGAAACUGGGGAACUUGAGUGCAGAAGAGGAAAGUGGAAUUCCAAGUGGUAGCGGUGAAAUGCGUAGAGAUUUGGAAGGAAUACCGGUGGCGAAAGCGACUCUCUGGACGGCAACUGAACGCUGAGGCACG
rnacentral:rRNA from 1 species